UACGAAGGGGGCUAGCGUUGCUCGGAAUUACUGGGCGUAAAGCGCACGUAGGCGGUCUUUUAAGUCGGUGGUGAAAUCCUGGAGCUCAACUCCAGAACUGCCUUCGAUACUGGAAGACUUGAGUCCGGGAGAGGUGAGUGGAACUGCGAGUGUAGAGGUGAAAUUCGUAGAUAUUCGCAAGAACACCAGUGGCGAAGGCGGCUCACUGGCCCGGUACUGACGCUGAGGUGCGAAAGCGUGGGGAGCGAACAGG
rnacentral:rRNA from 1 species